rnacentral:rRNA from 1 species
UACGUAGGGUGCGAGCGUUGUCCGGAAUUACUGGGCGUAAAGAGCUCGUAGGUGGUUUGUCGCGUUGUUCGUGAAAACCGGGGGCUUAACCCUCGGCGUGCGGGCGAUACGGGCAGACUUGAGUACUGCAGGGGAGACUGGAAUUCCUGGUGUAGCGGUAAAAUGCGCAGAUAUCAGGAGGAACACCGGUGGCGAAGGCGGGUCUCUGGGCCGAUACUGACGCUGAGGAGCGAAAGCGUGGGGAGCGAACAGG